UGGGGAAUUUUGGACAAUGGGCGCAAGCCUGAUCCAGCCAUGCCGCGUGCGGGAAGAAGGCCUUCGGGUUGUAAACCGCUUUUGUCAGGGAAGAAAUCUUCUGAGUUAAUACCUCGGGAGGAUGACGGUACCUGAAGAAUAAGCACCGGCUAACUACGUGCCAGCAGCCGCGGUAAUACGUAGGGUGCAAGCGUUAAUCGGAAUUACUGGGCGUAAAGCGUGCGCAGGCGGUUUUGUAAGACAGAGGUGAAAUCCCCGGGCUCAACCUGGGAACUGCCUUUGUGACUGCAAGGCUUGAGUGCGGCAGAGGGGGAUGGAAUUCCGCGUGUAGCAGUGAAAUGCGUAGAUAUGCGGAGGAACACCGAUGGCGAAGGCAAUCCCCUGGGCCUGCACUGACGCUCAUGCACGAAAGCGUGGGGAGCAAACAGGAUUAGAUACCCUGGUAGUCCACGCCCUAAACGAUGUCAACUAGUUGUUGGGGAUUCAUUUCCUUAGUAACGUAGCUAACGCGUGAAGUUGACCGCCUGGGGAGUACGGCCGCAAGAUU
rnacentral:rRNA from 1 species